UAUUUUGAUUAGAGAUAGUUUCACUUUGUCGGUCAGGCUGGUGUCGAACUCCUGACCUCAAACGAUCUACCUGCCUCAGCCUCCAAAAGUGCUGGGAUUACAGGAGUGAGCUCCUGCGCCUGGACAACCUGCACAUUUUGAAAAGCUGAGGAUACAUCCUCAGCAAGGAGGGGUGCUCCUUCCCUGCUGGCCUGGCCACGCCCCAGACUGGACAGGCCCCUUCCGGCUCUUCCCAGGCACCCAAGUGGCCCCACGCCUCCUCCUGCCUGGUGUCAGUUUAGUGAGAAUCUCACUUCUUCCCCAAAACUUUCUCUUCCAACUCGUUUUUUCAUUUUUCUUUUUCUUCCUGAGACAGUGUCUGGUUCUGUUACCCAGGCUGGAGUGUAGUGGUAUGAUCACAGCUCACUGCAGCCUCAAUUUCCUAGGCUCAAGCAGUUCCUCCCACCUCAGCCUCCCGAGUACCAGGGGCUACAGAUGUGUGCCACAAAGGCCAGCUAAUUAAAAAAAAAUUGGAGGGCCGGGUGCAGUGGCUCACACCUGUAAUUCCAGCACUUUGGGAGGCUAAGGCAGGUGGAUCAUGAGGUUAGGAAUUCAAGGCCAGCCUGGUCAAGAUGAUGAAACCUCAUCUCUACUAGAAAUACAAAAAUUAACUGGGUGUGUUGGUGCAUGCCUGUAAUCCCAGGUACUUGGGAAGCUGAGGCAGAGAAACGCUUGAACACUGGAGGCAGAGGUUGUAGUGAGCCAAGAUCGCGCCACUGCGCUCCAGCCUCAGUGACAGAGCAAGACUCCGUCUCAAAAAAAAAAAAAAAAAAAAGCCAGGCGUGGUGGCUCACUCCUGUAAUCCCAGCACUUUGGGAGGCCGAGGCGGGUGGAUCACAAGGUUAAAAGAUCGAGACCAUCCUGGUCAACAUGGUGAAACCCUGUCUCUACUAAAAAUACAAAAAAAUGGCCAGGGGCGGUGGCUCAAGCCUGUAAUCCCAGCACUUUGGGAGGCCGAGGUGGGUAGAUCACAAGGUCAAGAGAUCAAGACCAUCCUGGUCAACAUGGUGAAACCCCAUCUCUACUAAAAAUACAAAAAAAUUAGCUGGGCAUGGUGGCGCGUGCCUGUAAUCCCAGCUACUCAGGAGUCUGAGGCAGGAGAAUUGCCUGAACCCAGGAGGCGGAGGUUGCAGUGAGCCGAGAUCAUGCCAUCGCACUCCAGCCUGGGUAACAAGAACGAAACUCCGUCUCAAAAAAUAUAUAUAUAUUCGCUCCACUGCACUCCAGCCUGGGCGACAGAGUGAGAUUCCGUCUCAAAAAAAGUUUUUAUUCUUUUUGUAGAGAUGGGGAUCUCUCUCUGUUGCCCAGGCUGGCCUCAAUCUUCCUGCCUCAGUCUCCCAAAGUGUUGGGAUUACAGGCGUGAGCCACUGCACCUAGCCUCUGGUUUCCCCAUGUAGGGCCGGAUCAUUCUUUGUGCAGGCAGCUACCUUGUGCAUCUGGGAUGUUGAGUAGUAGCAUGAUCUCAACCUAGUCCCAAUGAAAGAUGUCUCCAGAUGUUGCCAAAUGUUGGGAUGGGGUGGGGCUCAGCCUUGCCACCUGCCUCAGCUGUCCUACCUAUCCACACGCAUGCCAACCUGCAAAGUAACUUGGAGUGUGUGUUUUCUUUCUUUUUUUUUUUUUCUGAUACAAGGUCUUGUUUUCUACCAGGCUGGAGUAUAGUGCUGCCAUCUCAGCUCACUACAACCCCCGCCUCCCAGGUUCAAGUGAUUCUCCUGCCUCAGCUUCCCGAGUAACUGGGAUUACAGGCGUGCACCACAUGCCCAGCUAAUUUUUGUAUUUUUAGUAGAGAUGGAGUUUCACCAUGUUGGUCAGGCUGGUCUCGAACUCCUGAACUCAGGUGAUCCACCCGCCUUGGCCUCCCAAAGUGCUGGGAUUACAGGUGUGAGCCACUGCGCCUGGCCUGUCUUUUCUAAUCUUGGGCCUGGUUUGAGUCCUUGAACCUACAGUAGUGGAGGUGAUCUGUGGGUUCCAGAAUCUUGGGGAGGGACUGGUGACACUCUAACAGGACCCCUUGCACUGUCCCUCUGCCUGGAGAAGGGGUGCCAGCCUCCCAUUUCCUGAUGGGUGGGGAGCCUGAGGUGGGUGGAGCCAGGCUGCCUUGUUUCUACUUCUUGGUUCCCAGGGGUGGGUGGUGGCAGUGGUGCCCCUGGAGCCAGAGGGCAUGGGGUGCCCCGACCCUGCCUCCACAUUUGCUGGAUGGUUGCUGGGGUGUGUGCUCCAAGACCUAUGGCCCCUGUGGGCAUGGAGGAGAAACCAGAGACUCAAGCAGAUCUCCCUGCCUGCCUUCCGGCCUCACGUCCCACUCCGCCUUGGCUCUAGGCCAGGGGCUGCCGGAGUGGUGACUCAGAGGAGUGAGAAGGGGAGAGAAACAAAAUGCAGGGUGGGGUGGAGGUCCUCUUCAAUUCUCCAAUCUCCACCAUCCCAGCGUCCCCAGCAAAGCCAGGACCCUUGAGGUCACAUCUCAAAACCGGCCACACUGCCCUCCUGCUGCUGCUCCUCCUCUUUUCCCCUCCCUCCCUCGGUGGGGUUUUUUUUUUUCUCCUGGAACCAUGCUAGGGCAGGAAAGCGGAAAUGAGUGUGGGGCGUGGAAUGUCUCUGAGGUUGGAAUAUAUUUAGGCCAUGAGGAGAGUGUGUGUGUGUGCGCGGUGCUGGCCAGGGCCUGGCGCCAGCCCGGCGGGCUCAAGGAGUGAAGCUGGGGGGCCCUGAGCUGGUGUGGGGAGGCUUCUGCCUUCUCCUUUUUCUUGAGAUGGAGUCUUGCUCUGUUGCCCAGGCUGGAGUGUACAGUGGUGCAGUCUUGGCUCACUGCAACCUCUGCCUCUGGAGUUCAAGAGAUUCUCCUGCCUCAGCCUCCCAAGUAGCUGGGAUUACAGGCACCUGCCACCACGCCUAGCUAAUUUUUGUAUUUUCAGUAGAGAUGAGGUUUCACCAUGUUGGCCAAGCUAGUCUUGAACUCCUGACUUUGUGAUCUGCCCCGCCUCACCCUCCCAAAGAGCUGUGCUGGGAUUACAGCAGAAUUGAGUCAUUCAACAGACUGUCUGGCCCUCGAAGCUGAAAAUAUUUACUGUCUGGCCCAUUGGAGAAGAAGCUUGUGGACCCCUCUUCUAAGGGGCCUGAGACCCUCGCAUCAAUCUGUCCCUGUUUCAGAUGGUCCCAGGAUCACUUCUUCAUUGGACGGUAAAGAGGUGGCGCUGUCAGCCUGCCUCUCGACUUGCGCGGACGUCAACCUCAGAUCAACCAAGGGCCCCUGGAUCCUGGAGUUCCUGACACUACCUCGAACAAGGCCCUGGACCUAAGUGUUCUCCUCUGCAAUGGCUGCCCCCGUCUGCUUGUGCUGACCUGGCCUUCAGGAGGUGCUCAGCUGACCCUGGGAUGAGAUCUUUCUGCGUCACCCAGGCUGCAGUGCAGUGGCUAUCCACAGUUGUGAUCAUAGCUGGUCUUGACCUCCUGGGCUCAAGGGAUCCUCCUGCCUCAGCCUCUUGAAGAGCUGGAACUGCAGACAGGGUUUUGCUCUGUUGCCCGGGCUGGAGUGCAGUGGCGCGAUCUCGGCUUGUUCAACCUCCACCUCCCAGAAAUGGGGGUCUUUCUAUGUUGCCCAGGCUGGUCUCCCACUCCUGGCCUCAAGUGAUCCUCCCGUCUUGGCCUCCCAAAUAGCUGGGACUACAGAUGGGGAAGUCAGAACGGAAGCACGUGGAGCAUUACAUGCACCCCCAGGAGCAAAAAGCUAAAAGCCAGUGAUAAAACAAGACCUCAGUCCUACCAGCCACAAGGACAUGAAUUCUGCCCACACCUGAAUGAACUUGGAAGUAGAUUCUCCCCCCAGUUCUCCAGAGAGAAGCCCAGCUUGGCUGACACCUUGAUUUCAGCCUCAGGAUGAUAUCAGCAACCCCCACCGCGGCCUCCUCCUGGUUUCUCAUCCGCACUGUGGCCAGAGGGAACCUGUUCAAAUGGCUGUGCGGAUCAGAGCCAUGAGGGUGGAAUUGAAGUGGACGGUGUUGUCAUCUGCCACGGGCAGGUCCAUCCGCAGAAGCCUCUACAGAAAACCCAAGGUGAGGGCAGUCAUUCCUGGGCAUCCCUCCUGGGUCUCCCGUGAGCCACGCCCACCCCUACCCAGGGAGUCCCAGGAAGAACUCUGAAGGCGGGCAGCGGCUGAGGCGGCCCCUACUUAGGUUACCUGUCCCAGUACUCAAUUUCUCUUGGUGGCCUGUAGGGAGGGGACAAGGGCUCUCCUACACCUCUGGUCCCCUGCCCUCCCCUUUUUCCCACUAUGUGCUUGACCUGAGAACUGGUAUUUCCAGAGUUGGCCUCAGUCGUUCCCUGCCUCGUUCCGCCCCAGAGUUCUUCUGGACCGCCCCGUGUCGGUCUGAUCCCAAAGAAAAAGAGCACAAGCUGGAUUUGAGCAGCACGUGCAACAGCCAAGGCUGAGGGGGCCGGGACCACAGCCGCCGGUGGGGGCACCGCUGGCUCCCCACCCCCACCUCCCGGCUUGGCCCAGACCAGGACAGACCAGAUGGGCACAGACCACAUCAUUCCUCUGAGAAGCAGCAGGCAGGCAGCCCCCCACUGAUGGGGCAGGCCCCUCGCAGGCAUGCAGCGAGGCUGUGACACAGAACAGCACAGACAGGGCGCAUGCAGACGGAAUCUCGAGACUCAUUCAUAGCUCCGUGGGAAGUGUAUCUCAGGGACUUGUCCGGAUCUUGGCUCUCUGUGCAAUGGCAGGGGGAAGGGAGGAGGGGCAUUCCUGUGGCCCAGGGAAGAAAAGAUUCCCCAUGUCCCAGGCAGGGGUUCUGUCCGCCGUGCUGGGUGGCAUGGGAGAGGAUGCUGGGCUGGUGUGCACCAGCCCAGGCUGAGGUGGCACAGAGAAGAGGGGUGAGGUUGAGUUGGGUGGGGAUUCGGACACACGUGGGCAGGAAACACAGAACUAGAGAUGGGGAGAGGAAUGGUAAGCCCAGAGCAGGACACUAGAGGAGACACUGGGGCAGGGUGGGGAAGGAGCUGGGAAACGGAGAAACACAGACUGAGCCUCUGUGCACAGUUGUGCAGGCUGUGCACUGCACAAAGUGCUUCCAUCUUGGAAAUGAUAGAUUUAUGUACUUAUUAUUUUUUUCUUUUUGUAGAGAUGGGGUCUUGCUAUGUUGCCCAGGCUAGUCUCGAACUGGGCUCAAGUGAUCCUCCCAUCUCAGACUCCCCAAAACACUAGGAUUACAGGCACGAGCCAUGAUGCCUGGCCUCCAAUUUGUGCAUUAAAUACAACAGCUUCCCAGCUAAGAGCAAAGUGUCUUGUUCUCGCCACAUUGGUGGACUGCAACAAUUUUCCAAAGGACACGUUUUGUAGAAAGGGUGCCUUUUUCAAAUUUGCCCCGAGCUGUCUGAUGGACCCAUGGUGGGCCUGCACCAAGACGAGGAGGGGAAGGGCUCUUCCUCCCUCCUGCAUAUGCACACACAUUCAACUACGCAGACACUGAGAGAAGUGACUUGAGGAAAACUGGGGAGGGGAGCGACAGGUGCGGGGAGAGGCUCCUUGUCUGAGACGCUGGUGGGCCAACCUUGUCCCCGGCUUUGACUGAGAAGUGAGGGGAGACAUAGAGGUUAGGUGAGGAGUGGUGCACAGAGGAAGGAAAGAAAGGAGCUUGUGGGGAGGCGGCGACAUGGGGCGGGCACAGAUAGCACUGAUGAUGGGGACGCAGGGAAGGUCAAGGUGGACGGGAGAAUAGGUUGAUAGGGUAGUAUUUUUUGGGUGGGAAGAAUCUUUAAAGGUCAUCCCGGAACUUCUCGUGGAUGAGUGGAGGAAACAGAGCAUCUGUCCUUGGGCGCCAAGGGAGAUUCCAGGACAGGGAUCUGGAGGGGUGGCCCGGCGCAGCCGCUUGGCGGCAGGACGCUCGUUUGCUCAGCCAGCAUGCACCACCCCCCGUCGGCCAUGGUGCCUGCCCGCCCCGGGCCCCGCCAAGGCAGCGUGCAUGGCCUGCAUCAGUGUGCCACCGUCCAGGGGUCCAGCUGCGGCCGCCUGCCCACUCUAGAACAAUGGAGAGGCAUGUUGGGGUGUCUUGGGCAGAUUAGGGAUGGGGGCUGGGGACGAAACUCCAUGGGAGGGAAGGGAGGGGAAGAGAGGUUCCUGGUGCUCCUUGGAAGGUCUCUAAUCCCCCAAGGCCCUAGGUCAGAGAUCAGCUUCAGGUGUGCGUGGCAGGGGUGGGGAGCUGGGGGCUCGAGGCACAAAAGAUGGGCCUGGGACCUUGCCUGCUCUUGGGGGCUUAAGCCCCUCUCUGCAAGGCGCCUGCCCCGGCCUGGGCAUGGGAGGGCGGGAGACGUGGGUUUUGACUCCCUGAAGAAGUGUGUUUGUUUCCAAUUUGGUACCUGGGAGACCAGGUGCAAGGGGACCUGGGCGCUCCCCUCCCCCUCCCCCCGGCGUGUCGGCCAUAAUGGAGUCUCAGAACACGAAGACACUCAUCAGAAAGGACGGACACAGUGUGCUGCUUGGAAUCGAGGGAUGGUCAUGAUCAGUUCACUCAAGAAAAGAAAAAAAAAGAAUCAAAAACAAGAAGAGAAACGCUGGAAAAAGAGAGUCGGCUGGGUGUUUCUGGUCAGCACUAAAAAAAAAGAAAAAGGAAAAAAAAAAAACCCAGCGCCUGGACGUCGGUGGUCGGCA